AGUGAACGCUGGCGGUAGGCCUAACACAUGCAAGUCGAACGGCAGCACAGGAGAGCUUGCUCUCUGGGUGGCGAGUGGCGGACGGGUGAGGAAUACAUCGGAAUCUACUUUUUCGUGGGGGAUAACGUAGGGAAACUUACGCUAAUACCGCAUACGACCUACGGGCGAAAGCAGGGGAUCUUCGGACCUUGCGCGAUUGAAUGAGCCGAUGUCGGAUUAGCUAGUUGGCGGGGUAAAGGCCCACCAAGGCGACGAUCAGUAGCUGGUCUGAGAGGAUGAUCAGCCACACUGGAACUGAGACACGGUCCAGACUCCUACGGGAGGCAGCAGUGGGGAAUAUUGGACAAUGGGCGCAAGCCUGAUCCAGCCAUACCGCGUGGGUGAAGAAGGCCUUCGGGUUGUAAAGCCCUAUUGUUGGGAAAGAAAUCCAGCUGGUUAAUACCCGGUUGGGAUGACGGUACCCAAAGAAUAAGCACCGGCUAACUUCGUGCCAGCCGCCGCAGUAA
rnacentral:rRNA from 1 species